UACAGAGGUCUCAAGCGUUGUUCGGAUUCAUUGGGCGUAAAGGGUGCGUAGGCGGCGCGGUAAGUCGGGUGUGAAAUCUCGGAGCUUAACUCCGAAACUGCAUUCGAUACUGCCGUGCUUGAGAACUGGAGAGGAGACUGGAAUUCAUGGUGUAGCAGUGAAAUGCGUAGAGAUCAUGAGGAAGACCAGUGGCGAAGGCGGGUCUCUGGACAGUUCCUGACACUGAGACACGAAGGCCAGGGGAGCAAACGGG
rnacentral:rRNA from 1 species